UACGUAGGGGGCAAGCGUUGUCCGGAUUUAUUGGGCGUAAAGAGCGUGUAGGCGGCCAGGUAGGUCCGUUGUGAAAACUCGAGGCUCAACCUCGAGACGUCGGCGGAAACCCUUUGGCUAGAGUCCGGAAGAGGAGAGUGGAAAUUCCUGGUGUAGCGGUGAAAUGCGCAGAUAUCAGGAAGAACACCCGUGGCGAAGGCGGCUCUCUGGGACGGUACUGACGCUGAGACGCGAAAGCGUGGGGAGCAAACAGG
rnacentral:rRNA from 1 species